rnacentral:rRNA from 2 species
AAACGACUCUCGGCAACGGAUAUCUCGGCUCUCGCAUCGAUGAAGAACGUAGCGAAAUGCGAUACUUGGUGUGAAUUGCAGAAUCCCGUGAACCAUCGAGUCUUUGAACGCAAGUUGCGCCCGAAGUCACUAGGCUGAGGGCACGCCUGCCUGGGUGUUACGC